rnacentral:lncRNA from 1 species
GCCAGAGUGAGGCAGGCUUUGAGGAGCUUGCCAAGGAGGGCGAAGGCCUUGCUUUGAAAACACUUCUCCAGUUUGCUGACUCGUGGGACUUGGCAAGCCCAGGGAAUAGUGCUGAAGGGAAGAAAGCCCCUGGAGGGGCCUCCCGGGCGGCUGCAGGCAACCCUGCUCUUUUCAUUGGCCCCAUGUGACGCCCACAAGGGAGCAGGCCUCGAAGGCCUUGUAAAUGAGUGUUUGCAGGGCCCCUCCCUGACUACAGCCCAUAUGUCAGGACACACACCUCCGGACUGCUAAAUGGCUGAGAAAAGGACAACCGUUUUCCGUGUUGGUACGACAUGCAGCAUUGGCCAGUCAAGGAUUGAGAUCAGUCAGAGACAUUCUCCCUUCUUCCCCAAACAUGGAGUCCUGUCAGCUGGUCUUGUUGACCACCAUACAGAACAGCCUGUACCUCAUAAGAUGCCUGUCUCAGUGUGGGGCAGAGAUUUCUCGUUAAGGAUGUUCCAGCCGUGAACUCUACUGAAAGACAAGUGUCCCCUCACUCCCUGUGGGUUCUUUACUCUUUGAGCACAGCAAAGAAAAGAAUCCUGGUUGGGUAUGUUAGAUCAGGGUCCCCAGAGAAGGACCUCUUCUUGCUGGAAUUGUGCUUUUCCAUUAAUUAGAUUGUCAGAAAUCCAAGAAUCAUUUUUUUCUACUUUAUCUUCUUUUUUUUUUUUUUUUUUUGUACCGGGGAUCGAACUCCUGUCCUUGCGCUUGCGCAGUAGGCGGCGGAACCACUGAGCUAAAUCCCCGGCCCCUUUAUCUUCUUAAUAUAUUACUGUUUUUUAUUAUUAUUUGAAUUUUUGUUACAAUUUACUUGUUAAUAUCAGUAAUAUUUCUAUGGAUUUCUUAUGGAAAUUUGUGAAAAUUAACUUUGUUUUCUUUCUUUUCCUUUUUUUGUUAUUUGUGUUUGUUUGUUUGAUAUGGGGUCUUGCGAUGUUGCCCAGGCUGGUUUCAAGCUCCUGGAUGCAAAUGACCCUCCUGCUUCAGCCUUUCAAGUACUAUAAUUACACUCAACCAUCGUGCCCAGCAGAGGUAGCAGAGGCUGCUGAUGGAACUGCCUGGAUGAUUCCCGAAAAAGCCUGGAAGACUUCAGACCAGUGGCCAAAUGCACAUGAGUUCCCUGUGGUCCUUCCUUCCUUGAUCUUCUACCACAACAACAAUGUGUUUCCAUUUAAACUGAUGUAGAUAUGCACUUGUAACAAUGGUGAAUGGUCUCAUUUCUGAAUAUUAGCCUAAAAUGCAGACGAGGAGUGCUCCCAUGUCCUUAGCAUUAGGUAGAUCUUUGGUCAAACUACAGCAUUCUCUUUUACUACUUUCUCCCUUGGGCUCAAGAUGUGUUGUCUGAAAAGUGAGAGAUAGCAGUACAGUAAUACCUCAGCUUAGGAAUGCUCCUGUUCAUGAACAAUUUGGUUUGCAAACAGAAGCAUUUGGAACAACUUUGCUUCCAUUAUCGAACUUUGUAUCAAGUGACAAACAUGAUCGCAGCCAUCUUCCCUAGAUGAACACAAAUGUGACCAUCUUGCCCAGAAUCAUGGAACCAAUUAAGUGCAUGAACCAAGGUACCACUGUACCUCCUUCCCAGAGCUACUUGAAGAUUGAGUAAUGUCAUUAACAAGCUCUUAAAGCAACCUGGCUUCCACCUCUUAUAACACUUUGUCUCAUAAUCAUUCCAUCAACUCAGUGCUUGUCUAGUGGCUGUCAUCCCAAUGGAUUGUAAACUUCAAGAAAGCUUUAUUCAUGGCUGUGUUCCCUGGGACACAGACUAUUAAUAGACAGACUAUUUUGUGCAAUGUGGUGCCUGUGGCACAUGUUAUAUACUCAAUAAAUGUUAGCUCUUACUAGUAAUACCCAGCUCAAACAAUAAAAACAAGCAGUGUAGUCAAGGAAAGACUACCUGGUGAAACCUUUGACCUCAGAACCCUAUUGAAAGAAUGUGAACUCCACCAAGAGGAGCGAGUAUUGUGUUUUCUGUUGCAAAGAAGGACUCAGAGACUCAAAGUCUAUCACACCUACAGACCACCAAGAAAUGAGCUUCUUCCCCCAGACUCUCCCAGCCUGAGCCACAUCACUGCUCUUGAAAUUCAGCCUGAUCUGUGAGUCUGAAUGAAUGUGAGCUGCGUGGGUGGCACACAGUAUGAGCUCCAGCGAGAGGCCCUAGUUCUUUCCCAAGAAGGUGUGACUUUUGAUUUCCUUCAAGUACGAUCAAGGUGGGUGAAGCAGUGGUGUUGGAAGGCUGGUGAGCUGUGGGCUGGCUGAGUCAGUGUUGGACAAGCUCCCCUCGGGAAUUUCCCACAGGGAGGGGAGCAGGUGGCAAUUGUCAGCUGGGAAAUUAACCAGGUGUGACUUUGAGAUCCAUAGGUAGAUUACAGUCUGCCCACAGAAAAGCCUGGGCCUAAUUAAUGAUAUUACUCUGAGUGGAAGUGAGGCCUUAUGCUUGGAAUGAAGUCCUUCACCUUGGCCUUUGUCUCCAAGUGAUAUCCUUUUCUACCUCUCUAGCUCAUGGAGUUGUUACUAGAAUAAAUCAAUGAAAUUAUGUAUAUAUGAAAAAAAUCCUUAGAGACUAAUAACGAAAUAUCAUCUGAAAAAAAUGGUUGGGUUUUCAGAUGGUUUUUGUUUUUGUUUAUUUGUUUUGAAGUGCUAGGGAUAAAACCCAAGAGUUCAUGCAUGCUACGCAAGUCCUCUACCACUGAAAUACAUCCCCAGCCAAUACUGUGUUACUUUUACGAACAAAAAAGUUUUAAUAAAAAUAUAUUGAGACUUAUACUCCCAUAGGAAGAGCCAUGGGAGACAUACAUGAUCAGGGAUCACUGGUCAGGCUGGAAGAGACCCCAGAUGGGUAUAAGCUAAAUGACCCAGGCCCCAAACCCACAGCUAGAAGCCAGGCUCAGCCUGAAUUGAGGUGGAUUUGAAAGUCCCAGAAUUGGCACACCCACCCUAAUCCUACUGACUGCUAGUGAUUGCAGCCUUCGUGGAUGUGGGCUCUGACUGCUUUCUUUAUCUACCAAUGAAAGCAGGGACAGAUAUUGAAUUGGACACCAUCCCAAAAUUGUAGACCCC